GAAGUCGGAAUUGCUAGUAAUGGCAGGUCAGCAUACUGCCGUGAAUACGUUCCCGGGCCUUGUACACACCGCCCGUCACACCAUGAGAGUUGGGAAUACCCGAAGCCUGUGAGCCAACAAACGAGGCAGCAGUCGAAGGUAGAAUCAAUGAUUGGGGUGAAGUCGUAACAAGGUAAC
rnacentral:rRNA from 1 species